rnacentral:siRNA from 1 species
AUGGUAUCCCGAAGGUAGUGAUA